ACCACAUAACACAAUGAUCCAGGUUAUCGCUAGAGGAUGGAGAAGUUACACGCCUUCCAAAGUGGUUUCUUUUUUCUAGGUGUUACAAUAUAGCAUCCCCUAUAGGCAAGUCUUCCCCUUUGGGGCGGGAUGUGUCAUGUUUUUGGGUCAGGUUAAGUCAGUGGAUCAUUUGUCUUUUCUUUAUGACUUUGUGUUUUCUAUUUGGUAUGGAGUAAUUUUAAGAGGUGGAUAGAGUUAUGGCUAUUCCACAGUCUAUUAUAGACGUGUUCAAACUUUUUUCAGGGAU
rnacentral:lncRNA from 1 species